GGGAUUAUUAUGAAGACUGGUUAAGCCUGCAGUAGAAUAAGUAGUCUCUUUCCUCCUCCAUUAGCCAGCUGUCUGUUACCAGGCAAUCACGAAGAAGUUGAAAAUAUGUGAAGAGGUAUGUAGACUCCCUGCCUCCCCAUUUUAAUUUUCAUCUGGGGCCUUAAACUGCAGGCAGACUGACUUGAUGAUGUGUGCUUCCUGUCCGUAGGAAACUGGCUCCACCUCCAUCCAGGCAGCUGACAGCACAGCCGUGAAUGGCAGCAUCACACCCACAGACAAAAAGAUAGGAUUUUUGGGCCUUGGUCUCAUGGGAAGU
rnacentral:sRNA from 1 species